GCUUAAUGAAUAACCUUGGUUGCUGGUGCUUUCCUUUUUCUUUUCUUUUCCUUUUUUCUUCUUCUUCUAUUGCUUAAUUUAACAAAUUUUAUAAUUAACACUCCGCGCAAGUAAUAUGAGGUUGAUGGCCAACAUGCAUUAUUUGAUAAGCAAGUGGGGAGGCACAUUAACUUCUAAAUUACUAGAUAUAUGGUAAAAUAAAUUGUGUGCUAAGAACAUUGGCCUAUUGCAGAAGCAUGAAGCAAGAGAGAAAAAAUAUAUAUAAUCUUCAUACACCAUUAUUCAAGGAAUGUGAAUUAUUUUGUACAAUUAGACCUUGUAAUAGUUGAAUCAAGAUGUUAUGAUCUAUAUUAAUUUACGGGCUCAUGCAUUCUAUAACAAUUAUAAACUUACCAAGCGAAUCAUGCAAACGUUUAUGGUGAAGUGAUGAAACCAUCUGUGCAAGUAACGCUUGCCAGUCCGGAAUAUGUACAUCCUACACAAGGUUGAUCUAUCUUAACGAUGAUCAAUUGCCCAUAACUGGUAUGCAAUAACAGUGUGUUAGAGAGUACAAAAUUACACGUGUGAUAUUUACUUAGCCAAACAAGAUCUAUACUAUUUUUUAUAAUGUUGUGGCAUUAAUACCAUGCAUAAUAGAUAUAAAUGCAAGGUCAUUGCCUAAUUUUUUUAAUUGAGACUCUAUAAAGACUUGCAUUAUCACAUAAAUAAAUGUGUAACAAUAUCAUUAAUAUAAGAGAGUGUAUGGCAUUUAUGUAGAAUCAUCAAGAUAUGGCAACAAUAGUCAGGAGAAGCACAUGCAUAAAUGCGAACUCAUAAUGUAAUAUAUUAUUGUGCCUCCCUAUAAAUAGUAGCAAAUAAGGAGUUUAUUGGUACCAAGCACACAUUUACAAAAGAAGGAAGGAGGAAUAGAAUAUAAGUAAUCUCUUUGUUCCCAUGGCACUUGCCAAGAGCAGUACAACACGGCGGACAAUCGUGUACUCGCUGGUUGUAUCUUUCCUGGUUCUUGCUAUAAUGUGUUCUACCUUGCCAUCAUGCCAUGCAAGCAAUGAGGUGAAGUGCAAGCCUCUAGAUCCAUGUGAUGACGCUGGAUGCAAAACUAUAUGUGCGGGUACAGGCAUGCCUUUUGCCAGUCCCUUUUGUAAGGAGACCCAUCCUCCACUAUGUUGCUGCAUAGGAUAGAAACAUAAGUUAACGGUUCCUUUGCAAGAACUAUGCAAUGCUAAAUGAUUCUAUGCAUGUAACGCAUAGAAGCCAAUCUAAAUAAAGAUGCUUGUUUUCUUUCAA